GGAAAUGUAGCUUAGUGGUAGAGUGCUUGCCUAGCAUGCAGGAAGCCCUGAGUUCAAUUCCUCAGCACCA
rnacentral:tRNA from 1 species